rnacentral:rRNA from 1 species
GACGAACGCUGGCGGCGUGCUUAACACAUGCAAGUCGAACGGAAAGGCCCUGCUUUUGUGGGGUGCUCGAGUGGCGAACGCGUGAGUAACACGUGAGUAACCUGCCCUUGACUUUGGGAUAACUCCAGGAAACUGGGGCGAAUACCGCAUAGGAUCUCCUGCUGCACGGUGGGGGGUUGAAAGUUUCGGCGGUUGUGGAUCGACUCGCAGCUUAUCCGCUUGUUGGUGGGUUAGUGGCUUACCAAGGCUUUGACGGGUCGCCGGCCUGAGAGGGUGACCGGCCUCAUUAGGACUAAGACACGGCCCAGUCUCCUACGGGCGGCAGCAGUAGGUAAUAUUGCCCAAUGGUCCGAGGCAAGAUACACCAAGCCCGCGUGCGGAAUGACGACCGUCGGGCUGAAAACCGCUUUGGAAGGAUACAAAGCCUGAGUGACGGUAAUGAGUAGAGAAGCACAGGCUACCUACGUG